AGAAACAGACCUCACGACUCACACAGAAAAAUAAAAAAAGAUUCACACGCCAUACCAAAAAAAUUACCACAAGAGUCUUAUUCGGAGCUUCUGGAUUCACUUUUUGGCUUUUGGGAUUCUACGGGGCUAGCACGAGGUUGGGCACACUCUCCUUCUCCCAUAAUUCUCUCACCUUCACCUCACGGUCUUCUGGUUCUCGCACCAGCAUUUGUUCUGGACUUCGUCGAACAGAGCGUCCAAUUUCGCUCAGAGAGUCACCACCGUUUAAGCCCACGGCCAAACCCCUCGCCUUCGUCCACCACAGACUCGGUCACACCACGCUCACUGAAACGACUUGACAUUGUGAUCCGCCACGAGAUUGUGCGCUUAACUCCACUUGCAUCCCGUUCCUCUCUAUUCUCUAUAUCGGUAUCUUUGAGCUCAAUUUGUGGGUAAAUAUAAUGAUGUGGAUGUAAUUGUCUCAUUCAUAUUAACGUAAAGUAAGCCUUCUUUCCUAAAUGUUAUGUGGAUGUAAUUGUCUUAUUGAUAUUAACAUAAAGUAAGCCUUCUUUCCUAAAUAUUAUUUGUCUCUGAUAUGUUGUGAUGCUCCUUUGUCAUCCUUUUUGAACCGUCUUGUCAUUCUCUCUCAACCAGUUGUGUUUCUUCCUCUGUUGGUUGGUGCAUUUCUUAAUUGAUAUUUCCAAUCUUGAUAAAUUUAACAUGCAGGCAGAUUCCAUAUAUUUUAUGAUUGCAUUAUUAAUCAUAGGAAGCUUGUUACGACUUUUGUGAUUACUAGUUCAAUUCCACAUUUUUAAACUUCUCUAUAGAGACAAAUUUAUAUGUUUUACAUAGCAGACAUUGCUUUCUCAAGACAAUUUUUAUCUCUAUCAUGUUCUAGUUUAUGACAAAUUAAUUUGUUUGGUUAAGUGUCAUCUGCUUAAUCUUUUUGGUAUAGGUGGGAAUCAAAUUCUUUCUCUCUUCCCCUUUUUAUGGUUUUGUAUGUCUCAAUACUUAAUUUCGUUCAGGUGAAUAAAUUUAUUUAAAAAUAAAAAUAAAAAAUAAAAAAAUAUUUUUAGUUAAUGGUAAAUGAAGAAGUUGAAAUAAUUUUUUUUUCGAAAAUUCUCAAAUUUUAAUUUUUGAAAAAUAAAAGAAAUGAAAAAAAAGUCCAAUUUGUUUUCAUUUUGUACUUUUCUACCACAUUUGUUUCUUCUUGAUAGAGAAAAUAGUCAUAUGAUUCUAAUAAUUAGAAAUAAUAUAUCUUCUAAUGAUUAGAAUUAAUAUUACUGAUUAUAAUUGAUAUUGUGCUGAUUUGAUGUGAUAUGAUUCUCGUGAUGUGCUAUUAUUAUGUUCCUUAUAUUGUUCAUUAUAAUUAAAGCUAGGAUUAUAUUGAUAUUGUAAUGUAUGGAUAUAAAUACCUUGUUUGUAAUAUGAAAAGAUUAGAAAAAAGAAAAUAUUUUUUACACUUCUCUCAUUCUUUCUCAUCACCAUUCACAUACAAACAAAAAAAGAAAAAAAAAAUAGUUGUAAGAGGAAGUAAAGAGUUUGGAAUGUACGUCACUCCUAUUUUUUAGGAGCAACAACGGGAAAGAACAAAUCUAUUCAAGACUCAUGAUGUUACAAACAACUGAAAAUUCAAAGGAUAUGAAGAUAAGGCUUUGAGCACAUUUGAAGAAUAGUUUUUAGGAAAAUUAAUUUAUGUUUCUAUGUUUUUGGAUUGAGUUUUCUUUUAAAGAUUAGUUUAUGUUUUCAUGUUUAUGAGAGUUUUGGACUUUCUUUUAGAAAUUAAUUUAUGUUUUUAUGUUUUUGGGUUUGAGUUUCCUUGUAGGGUUUCUAAGUUUUCUAAAACUUAUGUGUCUAUAUAUAAAGAUUACAAGGUACAAAAGACUAAUAUAAACACUUUUGAAUCAUAUUA